GACACGGCCCCAGCCACUCCUUGCAGGGGAAGAGGAAAUCCCAUCUUCCCCUGCCUCCAGCCCAGCCAGGACUACCAGCUGAUCCCUGUUCAAGGAAGACUUUUACUUUUAUCUUCAGCCUUCUCUGAAUCCAUCUUCUACAUGCUCCAGCAGUCCACUUUGUUGGUGUAUGAAGUCCACACCAAAUGUUGCUGCUACAGCAAGAUGUGAGAAGUCAAAGAGGUCAUAGUUAUAUGUACACCCAUUGCAUAUUGAUACUGGUGUAGGUGGUGAAGCCUCAGAACAGGACCAGGCUGCACUUCUCAAGGGACUGGAGAAAGGCCUACCCCAGUGUGCACCAGGACUCUGAGAUUGCUACCCAGUGAUACCAACCUGUGAGUGGAGUUCAGCAGAUGGAGAAGAGGGAAGUGCCGUGGUAACCAGACAACUGCCUAUUGGAUGUUCACCUGGACAGGUGGGGAACUGAGUUAAUUGACUCCUGCCAAAGUUACGGUGGCAGCCUGUUUAACUUGUCAUGCGUACAGCUAGUGUUGCUGUACUUUCCCAAGUAGGUGCUGUUUCCUUUUCUCCCAAUAAAACUUGCCUUCUUUUAUACGCUGACUGGGUGCUAACAAGUGGGGAAGUGUUGCAUAUGAAGGGCUUUGAGGGAAGGUAUUUAGUGAUCCCAGAAACUCUAGGUGGGGCUCAAGCCAGUGGUGUUUCUUAGUUUUAAGGGGAUCCCUGAGCAUAUGAACCUGGCCCUUGUUGCUGAGGUCUACCAGCUGGCAGAAGGACUACACUAAUACUAGUAGCUGAAAGCCAGUGCUGUUGUACAGGUGUGGUAGGUGGGCCAAGUAAUCCACCACCUGUUCAGUCUCUCUCAUACAACCAAUGAAAUUGUUGCAUGCAAAUCAGCUGUAGAGUAAGGAUGGUGAUUGGUUAGUUACCUCUGAUGUCACAAGGGUCUAGGACCAUUGGCAUGGCAUAGAUAUAUGCCUCACUGCCGUAAAAGCCCAUGCUGUCACAGGGGUGUAAUCUGUAAAGUCAAAAUGGCUGAGAACUUAAAAAUUGAAUGGUAACAGACUGCGAAGCCCAAUGAUAAUUGAACCUGGGGAUAUUCUAAACAAAACCAGCUCUCAACCAUGCUUGUAGCUGAUGUAAUGGGGUUUGCCUGCUUUUUAGUCUGAGGCAGUUGUCAAAACCAAGUGUGGGGUUCUUGCUGUGGGGACAAGUGUAGAUCUGGCUCUCAUGGUGAUGAUGAUAUUUCUCUUGGUUUGGGUGGUGGGGGAUUUCAGUUAUGUAUUUGCUGGCCAAGGCACAGACUGACAGGGCCCUUCAUGGGAUCUGGCUGUGCAUCUCUGCCUCCUGUUCAGAUGAAAACAAAGCAUGUGUGGAAGGCAGAGAUGGAGCAGACAAACCACAAAAGUCAAAGCUAGGAUCUCCUGAUGCCAAAAAUAAAUUGCCAAAAUCGCAAUUCUGUAUGAAAUUUUGGGGUCUAGAUGUGGGUCAAAGAUGGCAGAGGCCCUGAUCCUACAAUCUGAUCUAUACAAAUACAAUGAAGUUAAUGGGUCUCCGUAUAGAUGGAAGAGUGCACUUGCAAGAAUCUGAUUGUGGUAUCAGAACCAUAGUUGUUAUCUAGGGUAUAUUAUCUAUUAGUGUAUCAUCUUGUGUAAUGAACAGAAGAAAUAACUUUUCAACACCUUACUGUUAUUGGCCUAGAUCUGUUUAACAGCCACAGAUGUGGAAUGGGUGAUGGUACAGUCAGCUGUUCAC